rnacentral:rRNA from 1 species
ACAGUCACACAUUAGAUACCCGUGUAGUCCCAGCCGUAAACUAUGCUCGCUAGGUGUCAGGCAUGGCGCGACCGUGUCUGGUGCCGCAGGGAAGCCGUGAAGCGAGCCACCUGGGAAGUACGGCCGCAAGGCUGAAACUUAAAGGAAUUGGCGGGGAGCACCACAACGGGUGGAGCCUGCGGUUUAAUUGGACUCAACGCCGGGAAGCUCACCGGAUAAGACAGCGGAAUGAUUGCCGGGCUGAAGACUCUGCAUGACUAGCUG